rnacentral:rRNA from 1 species
AUUGAACGCUGGCGGCAGGCCUAACACAUGCAAGUCGAACGAGUGGCGGACGGGUGAGUAAUGUCUGGGAAACUGCCCGAUGGAGGGGGAUAACUAUUGGAAACGAUAGCUAAUACCGCAUACUAUUGGAGCGGCCGAUAUCGGAUUAGCUAGUUGGUGGGGUAACGGCUCACCAAGGCGACGAUCCGUAGCUGGUUUGAGAGGACGACCAGCCACACUGGAACUGAGACACGGUCCAGACUCCUACGGGAGGCAGCAGUGGGGAAUAUUGCACAAUGGGCGCAAGCCUGAUGCAGCCAUGCCGCGUGUAUGAAGAAGGCCUUCGGGUUGUAAAGUACUUUCAGCGAGGAGGCGUUACUCGCAGAAGAAGCACCGGCUAACUCCGUGCCAGCAGCCGCGGUAAUUC